GUGUCCUACGGGACGCAGCAGUGAGGAAUGUUGGUCAAUGGGCGAGAGCCUGAACCAGCCAAGUCGCGUGAGGGAGUACUGCCCUAUGGGUUGUAAACCUCUUUUGUCGGGGAGCAAAAGCCGGACGUGUCCGGCUGUGAGAGUACCCGAAGAAAAAGCAUCGGCUAACUCCGUGCCAGCAGCCGCGGUAAUACGGAGGAUGCGAGCGUUAUCCGGAUUUAUUGGGUUUAAAGGGUGCGCAGGCGGAUUUUUAAGUCAGCGGUCAAAUGUUGGGGCUCAACCCCAUACAGCCGUUGAAACUGGGG
rnacentral:rRNA from 1 species